rnacentral:rRNA from 1 species
CAGUAGCCGCGGGAAUACGGAGGGUGCAAGCGUUAAUCGGAAUUACUGGGCGUAAAGCGCACGCAGGCGGUCUGUCAAGUCGGAUGUGAAAUCCCCGGGCUCAACCUGGGAACUGCAUUCGAAACUGGCAGGCUAGAGUCUUGUAGAGGGGGGUAGAAUUCCAGGUGUAGCGGUGAAAUGCGUAGAGAUCUGGAGGAAUACCGGUGGCGAAGGCGGCCCCCUGGACAAAGACUGACGCUCAGGUACGAAAGCAUGGGGAGCAAACAGGAUUAGAUACCCCAGUAGUCCCUGUCUCUUAUAC